CCUACGGGAGGCAGCAGUGAGGAAUAUUGGUCAAUGGACGAGAGUCUGAACCAGCCAAGUAGCGUGAAGGAUGACUGCCCUAUGGGUUGUAAACUUCUUUUAUAUGGGAAUAAAAUGUUCCACGUGUGGGAUUUUGUAUGUACCAUAUGAAUAAGGAUCGGCUAACUCCGUGCCAGCAGCCGCGGUAAUACGGAGGAUCCGAGCGUUAUCCGGAUUUAUUGGGUUUAAAGGGAGCGUAGGUGGAUUGUUAAGUCAGUUGUGAAAGUUUGGGGCUCAACCGUAAAAUUGCAGUUGAAACUGGCAGUCUUGAGUACAGUAGAGGUGGGCGGAAUUCGUGGUGUAGCGGUGAAAUGCUUAGAUAUCACGAAGAACUCCGAUUGCGAAGGCAGUUCACUGGACUGCAACUGACACUGAGGCUCGAAAGUGUGGGUAUCAAACAGGAUUAGAUACCCGAGUAGUC
rnacentral:rRNA from 1 species